UCAGGGGACGACAGAAGCAGAUACUAGAGUGAUGUGUCUACAAGGAAGAGAAUGCCCAGGAUUGCUGGCAACAACCAGAAGCUAAGAAGUGACAGAGAAAGAUUCUUCCCCGGAGCCCUGCUCCAGAAAACUGGCCCUGCUGACACCUCGAUGUUGGACUUCUAGUCUCCAGGACUGUGAGAGAAUCAGCUUCCAUUGUCUUAAACCACUCAGUUUCUGGAACUGGAGGGUAGGAUGGCGUAAACAUAUGUGUUUUGGAACUCAGUGUGAGAUGCAGAGGGGAAGUGAGGCUCCUGAUCAAAUCAUAAAACACGAGCAUUCAUUGCUCAGAUGCAGAGAUGAUAUCUUCAGGAACGAUGGGGCAAUCUCCAGUUGGCCUUUGGUUCAUCUAGCUGCUACGUCAAGAGCAGGGCCCCCCCGGAGUCCCAGACCAGUUCUUCAACCUCUGGAACCCUUCAGGAACCACUGUGGAACCAUUGCUGGUAGCUGACACCUGAGGAGCCGAAUCUUUUGUUUCACGUACUCUCUGUGGGAGCAGUGGUUCUUACCCCGGCCACACAAAAUCACCUGGGGAGCUUAUAUAAAUAUCCAUACCUGGGCCCAUCCCAGACCAAUGAAAUCAGCAUUUCUGGAAGCUGAAGACAGACAUUUUUCUUUUCUUUUCUUUUUUUUUUUAGAAAGUCCCCCCAGGUGAUACUAGUAUUGGACUUUCACUUGGCUCUCUUGCCCUGGGAGCCCAACCGCCAUGCUGUGAGGAAGCCCAAGGAAGCCUAUGGCCCAUGUCAAGGCCAUAGGCAUC